AACGAACGCUGGCGGCAUGCCUAACACAUGCAAGUCGAACGAGACCUUCGGGUCUAGUGGCGCACGGGUGCGUAACGCGUGGGAACCUGCCCUUAGGUUCGGAAUAACUCCCCGAAAGGGGUGCUGAUACCGGAUAAUGUCUUCGGACCAAAGAUUUAUCGCCUUUGGAUGGGCCCGCGUUGGAUUAGCUAGUUGGUAGGGUAAAAGCCUACCAAGGCGACGAUCCAUAGCUGGUCUGAGAGGAUGAUCAGCCACGCUGGGACUGAGACACGGCCCAGACUCCUACGGGAGGCAGCAGUGGGGAAUAUUGGACAAUGGGCGAAAGCCUGAUCCAGCAAUGCCGCGUGAGUGAUGAAGGCCUUAGGGUUGUAAAGCUCUUUUACCCGGGAUGAUAAUGACAGUACCGGGAGAAUAAGCUCCGGCUAACUCCGUG
rnacentral:rRNA from 1 species